UUGUAAUAAAGAAACAUCAUCAGUGUGUCUCUUGUUGCAGGGAUCAAAGAUGGCAAAGCCUGCAGAAACAGAGGGAUCAUCUUCAAAUCCUAAGAAGAUGUUUUGGCUGACCUCUCACCUGAUUGGAUGAAGAGGAGGAAGAGGAGACUAAAUCAGUGAUCUAAAAGUCUGAACUUUGUGUCUGGACUUUGGGCUGACUGGUUGUUUGAAAACCAUGUUGAGUAUAAUGAUCUGUAGCUCUUUUUGUGACAGCUUGAUUUGGAUACUUAUGGAUAAAACAAAUGUAAAUGAUAAGAUUUGUUAGUGACAUAAGAUGAUGAAGUCAACUCAGCCUUAAAAACAACUGUUGUUUUCUAUUA